UUUCAUUUACAACCAUUCCAAAGCUCAGCAAACUGUUAACUGUUGAGUAAGGUUUUGUAGAAAGAAAGUACAAAAAAAAAAAAAACUUCAUUUUCCAAUUCCAUUAAGGCCAUUGCAGACGACAAUGAUGCGAAGUUGGAGCGCUAAGCUUCGGUCUCUAGCCCUUCAAUCGCCUCACCCUCUGCGGUCUAUCUCUUCUUCUUCUUCUUUUACUUCACGCCGCCUCAUCCACUCCUCCCCACAGCUUCACCAACCCAUCCAUUUUGCUUCGUGUAGAUCGAGGUUCAAUGCCUCUUCAACAACCCAUUCUUCAUUGGCUUUGCAGCCCUUUCUGGCUCCCCCGUUUCCUCCUUCUGUGAAUCAAGUGCGGCACGUUUCAUCGAGAGAGCGGAAGAAGAGGAGAAAGCCAAUGACACCGGUCACGUCCAAGAUAAAGAAAACCAAAAUGAAGUUUUUUUCGUCUUUCAAGUCCAGGUUUAGGGUGAUGAAUGAUGGGAAUAUUCGGCGUUGGAAGGAGGGAAAGCGGCACAAUGCACAUUUGAAGUCAAAGAAAUCAAAACGUAGGCUCAGACAACCUGGCAUUGUCCCUGCUGCUUAUGCCAAAGUGAUGAAGAAGCUCAAUUUUUGUGGUUAAACAUUAGGAUUCCAAAGUAGGUGCUGCCAAUUCCUGGAAUUAAAGAGGGAAAAAUUCUCCUCCAGCCUUCUGUUUUUUCAUGCUUUCCUCCUACUGCUUGCAUUUCAGUCCCUCAAUCAAGCAGGUUGUAGAGCAGGAUUUUUGUAGCUGGUUGUUUACAACAAUUGGUAAAUUCAAUUUAAGGCAAUGGCUUAGCCAAAUGAUUCUUAUCAAGUCUGAUAUUACUGUUGAAACUAAUACCAACUCUUUGUGGGCUUACUGUGGUUUUAUAAUCGUUACACAUUUCAUAACCCAAUCAAUAAAGAGAUUUUAGA